CUUCUUUUUCUAGUUUCCUAUGGUGAAAGCUUUGAUUAUUGAUUUUAGAUCUCUUCUUCUAUUAUAAUAGAUGCAUUUAUGCUAUAAAUUUCCCUCUAGGCAUCACUUUUGCUACAUCCCACAAAUUUUGAUUUUGUUUUCAUUUUCAUUCUGAACUUUUUUGAUUCAUGUAAUCUGUAAUGUGCAUUUCCAUAUCAUCCUAAGUAGAUCUAUUUCACUUUAACUGGUAUGUAAUAUUACAUUGUAUGGAUGUUUCAUAUUUUACUUAUUUAGUACUAUUUUGUAAGAUACUUAAGUUGUUCUAAUUUUUAUUCUCAUUCAAACAAUGCUCAAUGAAAUAUAUGUGUAUAUCUUUGUAUAUUGCAGGUUUAUAUCAAUAAGAUAAAUUCCUAACGUUGGAAUUGCUUAGUCAACAGAUACAUAUAUUUUCCAACGUGAUAAAUAUUGUCUAAUUGUUUUCCAAAAAUGUUGUACCAGUUAAUACUCACGAUGAGCUUUCAAUAGGUCAUUGCCUCUGUAGGAGGAGAUCCACUCUCUUUUUGUAAUUGCAAAGCAUAGUCACCUUGCCUAAUUACAGCAGGAUGUUAUUUAUACCUGUAUGUUUUGCUAUAAACACAUUAACCUAGAGAUGUGGGAUCUAAACGUUAAUCUUAGGUGUUGAUAUGCUCUGAUGAGUAAGAAAUUGCUAAAAGCUAGAGACAAAAUGGGAGAAAUAACUUGAGGCUUGCUGCAACACAGGAACAGAAAAUAAAAAUCAAGAGAAAAAAAGUUGGGGGGCAUAAAGCAAAACAUAAAAGUAAACAAAAAAAGGGGGAAGGGGAGAGUGAAGACCAUGGAGAUUGUGGUUAAUCAACAACAGGACGUGAGAAGUUGGGGAGCUGACCAAUAUUCUUGACAUAAGAUUUUGAGAAAAAUAGAGCUUACAGGGUAGGCUUAAACCUAGGAAUCAUUCUUCAUAUUUACCCAAAGAGGACUAUGGCACUAGCAAGUAUUUGUUUUCUCAGGUACUAGUGAUUCAAAGAGAGGGAGCUAAAAAGGGGAAAAUUAAAAUCAAAAGCCUAACUUAUUUUAUGCAAGAGAUAGCUGAAUUCUAAAAUUUUUGUUUUGUUUUGUUUUGUUUUUUUACCCUCUCAUGGGCCUAGCCUUAGGAUUUCUUUCACCACAAAUCCUUUCAUAGAUGGGAUCCCUAUCUGCCAUAGCAGCUGCUACCUCUGAGAGACUUGAAGCGACCUCUACCUCACACAUGAGAGAAAAGACCCUUCUUUUUACUUCUUGGGGAAUGUAGUGAUUCAGGACUGUAGUGUUUCCUCUUGGAGUCUCUCCCUAGAGGUUUUCCUAUUGUUUUUGCUCUAAGCAGAGUCCCCACAUCCACACUCCCCCACCCCCUCCAUAGCACAAUCAAUAUUAACUCAUUCAUAACAGAGGAGCAGCCUCUUUUCCAAUCACAGUUCUGCUGACUUGUUUGGGAUUGGUUUGGGUUGAGUCACUAAGAAACAUAUUAGAUUAAGGCACUGGUCUUUUUAAUAAUAAUAUAGAAUCUCCACACCUCUCAAAUAGACCUCAAAUUUGGGAGCCAUUUAUUUUCAUUACCCUCUCUUCAUAGGAAAAAUUGAGGACCCCGUUUAUUUACUUAAAACAACAAUAAGCUGAAUCACUGUUGCUAUUUAACAUCUUACUUUUUAGAAAAUAUUCUUUGUGGUGCCUGACGGCAAUGCUGCAAAGGAAACAACCAGUUUAAAAAUAGGAAAGAUAAAUUAAAUAAUACCAAUUUACAAACAAAUUUAAAAUCGAAACAAUCCCCCAUACACACUCUUCUUGGUCAGCUCUGCCUCACCCUAAGAGAUCAGUAGGUAAACAACAUUCUGUUACCUCUGUUUGCACCCAUGGAUCAUCAGGUGAGAGGGCAGGUGUUUGGGAGUAGUUGGAGAGAGGGCUGAAACAAUAUUUUUGCACCAAAUAACUUGGUCUCUCCAGUUUGUAGUUAGUUUAUAAUGAGUUUGUGAUCCAUGGAUCUCACAGGCUGCUUCCUUGUAACUUAAUGAACCAUAAUGACAAUUCCAAAGGCUACAUUAAUUUCUUUUUAAAAUAAAAGAAGGAGGGUCUGCUGAGAGUGGAUGUUAGGAACUAAGCUAUUUCCAUUACCCUAUUUUAAGUAAAGCGCUAGCUAGAAGGCCCAUGUACCAGCUACUGCUAACUCCUAACUUCAGAAACUCAUUUGCAAUGAGCUUUCCAUACCUCUUUGGGUGGGAAAUGUACUAUUGCUUCUCUUCUUAGCGAGGCUAUCAAGAAACACACUUCAAAAAAUUCCCACAACACACAUAAUCAUUCUUUCAAAAUAGCAAUUUGGCUGUAGCAGCCUUCUUCCCAUUCAGCUAAGUGUGUGAAAGGUAAUGGAGACAGCUAAUGCCUUUUGGUUUUGCUGUGGGCAGGGGAAUCUUACCAUCAUAUGUAAUUAGUAAGAACUACCAGAAAACAGACAAUUGUUAUAGAAGUCACACUGAAAAUACUCUAACAAAUAGUCUAAGCAACAUUCAUUGAGCUCCUUUGGGGGUGGGGCAAGGGGGGUAAUUUUCUGGUGUUAAGAAUGUCAUAAGAUUGCCAAGGUAGUAAAUGACUGGGACUUUACAAAGGCCUUUGGAAGGAGAGGGGGCAAUCCCAUGAGAAAAUGACAGGUACUGUUUUAUUUCCAUGGUCCUUUUUUACCUGCCAGUUCUUACUUCUCAGUGAACACAACUGAUGUCCCCACUUUCCCCAACAACAACAAUGACAAUAAAAUAAAUUUUAAAAAGAUUCUCGGUAUGAGUCAUGAGCUUACCCACUGUGGACCAGGAAGUUCUCUUCAGGCUCUCACCUGCUAAACUAUGGCAGAAGUGAUUAUGCAAAGUUUUCAAAAACCCACAGCACAGCUCUCCUCCUGCUGGGCUAUGAAUGGAGACAAGGGACUGGUACUAGUGAGGGCCAUUCGGAAGAGGAAGUGGGUGAAGGCUCUGCCACUGGCCAAAAUCGGGUUGCACCUCUUCUCCCAUGCUCCCCAUACAAGCCCUGACAAUGACAUUCUCCUGGAAGCCCAUUUUCAUUGCUGCCUCCAGGCCUUUGCUCUCCUGUUUGUCUGGGACUACCUGAGAGCCCUUCUUCUAAACCCAUCCUAGUCUGAUUCGAACUCAUUUUUCAAGGACCUACCUCUUCCCAGUUUAUAGGCCAUUUUCUCUCAUUUCAGCCCACACUGCGCUCUCCUUUCUCUGAAUUCUUGCAGCACUUAUAAUCUCUAUAAUUAUAAUAACAACAAUAUUUUAGUUAUUUACGUAUCAAGUACUCACUACAUGUCAGGUGCUAUGCUAAGUAGUUUACGUAGUCCCUUAUUUAAUCUUCACAGCUAUCCCAACCUAUGUUACAUUUGAGGAAACCGUGGUUACGUGGUUAGUAAGUGGCAGGAUGGGAUUUGAACCCAGGUCCAUCACUGGUAAAGCCUGUGUCCUUCCCCAUGGUCCAUAUUUCAUUUUUUGGGCUACCUCACAAUAUACUUGCACUGCAUCCUUUUUGUAUAUUUUAUAUUUCAUUUUAUGUGCUUGUGCCUCAUGUUCACAACAGAAUUUAUGCCUCUAGUGAAUGGGGCUACUUAUUAGAUGUGUGUUUACUGCCCAUUUUGUCAAGCAUGGGAUCAAGCAUUUAGUAGGUGCCUAAUAUUUGUGACUGGAUAUAGCAUGAAUAGACAUGCAUCUUUCUUCGAAACUCUCAAAGGUCUUUAUAAGAACAAUCACACCAGACAGUGGUGCAUGGAGGAGGGGAGCAGUGUAGUGGUCGCGUGUGAAAAGGGUCCCUGAAUAGCCAAUAAACCAUCUUACUCCGGUUCACUGUGAUCCCCUUAACCCCUCAGUAAUAGGCAAGGCCAUGUGAAGCCUGGCACAGAUAGAGUAUCAGAGAAAUCCCAAGAGGUGCAGCAUCCUUGCCACAAAAGCAGUGUGGCUGUGGCAAUCAUUGUUCCUGAAGCUUCUCUGAGGAUCCAAGAUCACUUCAGCCAAUCAGCUCCAGGAUGGAAAGAACUUCAGGGUUUUACUGGGCUUCCUUGCCAAGCUUUAAAUAGCUUAGUUACAUCAUUGAGAACCAGUGCCAAAUGAAAGUCUUUCUGAUUGACCUGCUAUUAGGAGGCCACUGCAUUAUAAACCUUCAAAGCUUUAGCCAUAAAAUAAUUUCAAAUGCAGUGUCAAGAGAAGUGUUCCAAUAUGUAAUAAGUAAAACUUAGAAGACGUAUAAAAAUUAAAGAGUGGGUCAACUGGUUCAAAUGGCACACAAAUUUAAUGUGAGUGUCACAGUCUAAUGGAAAAAACAGCAUCUCAGGAUCCAAGGGGGUUCACAUCAAUUCCAGCUUUGCCCUUCAUAUAACCUCAGCCAUGUUACUUCAUCUUACUGUGCCUCAGUCUCCUCAGCUGCAUGACGAAGACUGCGAAUUCAUUGAUUCUCAAAUUACAUGCUAGAUAUUAUCUGAGGUUCACAUGAUGGCAUAAGCUUCCUUUCCCAAACCUCAUGUAAAUACGUACCAUAUGUUUCUAAAAAGUUCUCUGUAUACACACCUCUAUUGCAAAAGUAUAUCACUCCGCAAGUUCUGUCGAGGUAACAAGCCCCAUUUUAAAGAAAAAAGAAAGGGAGGGGAGAAUUACAUUCAGGGUCAGAGAAAAUAAGGCCAGAAACAUACAGAAACAGGUUCCAGAUAUGCAAUCUGCUGCUUAUCCAUGGAGCCAUGCUACUUUCCUUUAAGAAGAGAGCGCUUAAAAGAGUAAGGUUCUACCUCUAUUCUCAUCAAGGGGAGCAACACUUUUGUAAUGACUUAUAAAGUGACUUGAGAAAAAUACUUUCUUAUCACAAUUUCCAUGUAAAUUCAAAAUUACCAUAAUUUCCAUGCCAAUUCAAAAUUAGGAAAAUACUUAACACAUUUUCUUAACUGUACAAAUGCCAGGGGAACAGAGUCCAAGACUCACUGUAGAGGGAAAAAACCCAAGGUUCUCACAGAAUCUCCAUCCCCAGCCCACUUGGCCAGAGUUUUCUUUCUUUUUAAAUUCUUGUGUCUCUACCUCUCACAGGUCUCCUCUUCCUCUUUUCCUCUUGUCACACUAUCUGCUGUCUCUCCUGGCCACCUCUAGAAGCCAACACCCUCAUCCUUUACCCUUUCUUUGCUUGUUGCAUCUAACUUUUAAGGGGCUCAGAGGCAAGAGGCCAAAGCCUGUUAAAAUCAGAAAUAAAGCUACAAAACUGGAGAAGACCUGAGCUGCCUCCCUGAGAAAAGCACACAAGUGUGACAUCUGCUAGUUGCUAAGUCCUUGUCUGUCACAGACAGUGGUAGAGGUCUAUCUUUCAGAGUAAAGAAGCCUAGCUUGAUCUAGAAAGCAGCAUCAUUUGGGCUCUUGACUUUGGGAGAAGGAGUCCUUCUGAUAUGACACACUAGUUAAUUCCUAUUCCACAAAAACCAUAACUAUGGCACAGUUAAAGCACUAUAGCAGGCACAGGUAAUGAAUAGGGUCACUUUCCUGAGUGACAUCUCCACUAAGAUCUUUCAUCACAUCAGACAUCUGUGACCCAGCCAAGCAGCAGUUACGAGGUCAGUCCUAUAAGAGAAAUAAUAGGAGGUGGGGAUGGGCAUUUGAGCUUAGCAAAGUUGUAAUCUAAUCUUUCGGACUUUGGUCAUAAAUGGGACAAAGUCCUAAAGAGACCACACUGGGUGUUAGGGAAUAAAAUGGCACUUUCCUCAAAGAAACAGCUAGAAAGGAAGCAUCCCAAGCUAUAUCCCGAAAGGCUCUAACCUCUGGGACUAAAUUACAGUCAUCAGAACCUUUAUCUUACAAAUGAAUUGUUAAUUGUACUUACCCCACCAGGACCCUCAUUUGUAUCUGUUUCUCAACUUCACCCAUGAGCCUUCCAUACACUCCUUCCCACCCUGUGCUAGAUGCCUCUCCUCUGAUGCACAACACCCUAUCACACUCCUCCUGACUAACUCACACACACACACACACACACACACUGUACUAUAAUUGUAUGCUUUUCUUCAUCUGUAGGCUCCAGGUCCAUUAGGACAAAGCUUGCAUCUUUCAGCUCAUAACUUUAGCUCUUAGAAUUGUGCCUUGUACAUAGUACAUGUUCACUAUAUGUUUAAAUGAAUGAGUACAUGAACAAAAUGAAUGAAUCUUUGUAUCUUUUAUAAUAUAGUUCUCCUUCCACCAAAGCACUCAUCUUGGUACCUUCCCAUCAUGAGGCCAGGGUAAGGCUUUGUGACAUCACUCUAAGAUAAGACAAAAGCACAAGAAUAGGUUGUACUUAGCAGAGGCAAACAAAGCUGUCCUCGGGCAGGGUGUGACACAGGUUUCUUCUUGUCUUGAGGAUGAGUGAAGAAGCCCACAGCCACAUGGGUAUUUUCGCAGCUUCCCAUGGGGGAAAGGCUGACCCUGGAUAGAAUGGCAGGAGAAUUUAAUUUUAGGAUUUGGGAAGAAGGAAUUAUUGUUAAGUAUCUCAGAAGAAUCAAGAUUUGGGAGCAGGAAGUGAAGACUUAUCCAAAUUAAAGAUUGUGCUAAUUUAUUACAACCAUGUAUACUGAAAACAAGCAUGUUGGGCCCAGAGUGAAGGAGGGUGUUUCCCAUGCAGACAGUGCAACCUGCCCCGGCCCCUCACCACAGUGAGAGAAGACUCAGCAGCACAUGCUCACCGAGCUAACUGAACCGAUGGUGCUCUCCGUAGUGGCCACAGACUACAGCUGAGGUCAACUGAUGCAUGCCCAACGACGUCUGCAGAUCCCAAGAUAUGAUUUCAUUAAUUGCCAUGGAUAAAUCAGUUGGGCAUUUGCUGGCAGUGUUUAAAAUGCCACGAUGGGUCAGAUUAGAAAGCUGCUAGUACUGUAAGUCCAAAAGUGACCCAAGGAGGGUUCUUGGCUUCUGCCAAGGGUAAGAUCCCACAGCUGCUUGAGUUGACUCCACCUGAACAAAGUGAGGCCUCUGCCAUCAGGCCCAUCAUUCCAUCUAGAUAGGUAUGGCCUCCUGCCACCACCGGGACACACAUCUGUGAUACAACCAGAGACAACAAAGGUACCCUGGGCUGGAGGCAGGGCAGGGGUAAUUGCAGUAUCAGAACCUACUUCCCAGGAUUCUUGACAAAGUUCUCCCCAACAGGUGCUUCUCCUCUCUGGAGUAGUGUAAUGAUGAAAGACACGUAUUAGAAGUUGAACUACCAAGGUUUGAAUCCCAGCUCUGCCCACCAACUAUGUAAUCAUGAGAAAGUCACUUAACCUCUCUGAAUCUCAGCUUCCUCCUCUGCAAAAGGGAAGAAUAAAGCUCCUAUAUAGUCCCAUAAAAUUGGUGUAAGGAUUAAAAGACAUGAUUGGUGUGAAGAGUUAGAACAGUGAGUCAACAUGAAGUCAUGUUCCAUAUUAUUUUUCCUUUAGGGUCCUCCGUCUUCCCCUUUCCCUGGAGACCCAUCCUAUCUGCCCUAGUGGGGCAGUGCCUUGUUCUCUGGGAUGCUCCUCUCUUUACUCUGAAAGAGAUCAAAUAACCAGUCCACACAAAGCUUAAUAUGUUGUUCAAUAGGAGGGUGGAACUUUAGAUGCAAGGAGCAAACUCCUAGAGGGAAAUUUCCAGUUUUAUUGGUCUGCAGAUAGAAAAGGGUUAUUUGCAUCAUGUAGGAGAGUAUUGAAUAGGAGGUGAGGAAGUAGGCCAAGGCCUCAUAAUCUGGACAUCGAUUUCAGGAUAAGAAGUGCAUAUAUAAGAGGUUUCAUAGGUAGAGUCGAGAGCAAGCAUAGUAGAAAUGACACUACAAAGAUUUUAAGAAAAAAUAGGAUUGAAGGGGAGCCAGUGUUGCCAGAUGGAGGCCAUCAUGUGGAGAUCCUGCUUGGAGCACUCACUAGCCCAGAGCCACCAUGCCAUGGGAUGGACCUGCAGCCUCUGGAGGCCUUGAUAAGGGAUGGCUGAGCUGAGCUGAGUGUUCACUUCCCUGUGCUUUUUACAUUUCCUAAGGUAUAGGCAACCAGGAGAUGCCUUAUUCUCUACAAUUUUCUGGGACCAACAUAGCCACAUCUGUUAUCCCUUUGUCCUUCCUCACCUUCCUUGCAACUCUUCAUACACAUUCACACACACACACACCUUUCCAGGUCUGAGAAAAAGGUAAUAGACAAAACACAAACUCUAAGAAUCAAAUGCAGACAUGUGAAGCUGGCCAGGUGCAAUCAUACAUGCCCUCGGGUAAGGCAUGAUUCAUCACCAAAGUCCCCAACUCCUCUGCUCUCUGAAAACACUCUGCCUUCUUGCAGAUGGAUGGUGACAGUCCCACUCCUUUCUACCUCAUACUGAGACCAGCUUGAGCAUGUGGCUGGCCAUGCAGCCUUGAAAAGGACAAAUGACCCGAAGGGACUAAAGUAGAAUGGGGAAAGCCAGGCACUCCAAAGCUGCAACAUCACCCUCUGGCAGUUAUAAUUGCUCCCCUGCAGUGAGGGAAUGUCCCUGCCCACUACUCAUCGACCAGGUAGCUCCUGGAGGGCUCAAGUUCCUGGUGGAAGGGGCUUGGCCUGUUUCAACUAACUUCAAGCAGCACAAAGCCCAGCCCAUCUCUCUGUAGCUCUGGGCAUUUAACAAAUGCUUUUAAUGAUGAUGAUGCAAUCCUUUCAGCUUAGGUCUAUCAGGGUCCCCUGAGAAACAUAUAUUAUCUGAAGCUUUCCCUUUUGCUUAAUUACAUUGUGCUAAUGUUCUUUUUCCACUAGAUUUCUCCUCCCCCAACUCUCCCAUCCAAAUCCUGCUUCACUGUGGGUUGGAUUUACAUAAAAGGCCAGCACGUUAUAAUUGUGAUGAUUGAUCACCAAAGUUUCCUUGGGUUCAGAUUGUUUCCUAAUGUGGGUCAUUUUUCAUCAUGAAGAGUUGGCUGAUAAUGAUGUCAUUUCCAUUGCUUGAAUUUUGAGGCAGUGGCCACAUAUCACAGAGUUUAAAUGACUGUCUAUAGGGCAGCAAAAUCAUGUCGUUAUCAGUUUAAAGCAGUUGCUGCUUUACUCCUGGGGACAAAACAAGAAUUGGAGCCUCCUAAAACUCAUCAAACAAGAGCAGGAUGCCAAGAAUACAAAUCUGUAUCUGGGCCUGGGAAAGGGGGAGCAGGAAGGAGGGGUGGUGGUGAAGCAAACCUGUUUUUGCAUGAGGCUGUGUGGUAAGUAUCAGAUAAAAAUGACAAAGUCAUACUUGACAGAAAAUAAGCUGUACUGCUGAUCACUGGAUACCUUAGAUGUGUUCACCCACAAUCCUUUAACUGUGAUUUCACAGGAAGAUUAACGAGCAAGAAUUGAAAUCAUUCACGAAGAGAAGCUUUGGACUAAAACCCAUCUGCCAGAUAAGCCAAUAAAUGUCCCUCUCAUCAAGUGAUUGGGACUGGGAUGGAGCUGGAAUUUGGCCCUAAUGUUGCAUGUGUAAAGUAUGCAUAUAAAAUGAAAUGAUGUUACAUGUGUGUUUAAAACAAAUAGUUGCAUUGUUAAAAUCCCAAGGCUUGCAGACCCUAAAUCACUGUGAGUGAGCUGCUGCCCCAGAUGCUCUGUUUUCUGCUAUUUGCCCCCAGCCAACUUCCCAUGUGGCAUGUCCUUCUGAACCCUCUAGGAUGCCCUGCAGAUGUUAAAAGUGUAUAGUGCAGCCCCAGCCCUGUCUUCCACAGUCUUUCUCAUGCAACCCAGCAUCCCUCCUCCAACUUCUUUUCAAAAUACUCUAACUUGGAGAAAAUUGCAAGAACAGUAAAAUGAACACCCAUAUAUUGCUCACCUACAUUCACUAAUUAUUUUUAUUGUCCCAAAUAUGCUUUAUCUCUCUGUAUACAUAUACACACUUUUUUUUGUUUAAUCAUUUGAGAAUUCAUUGUUUUAGCUUCCCAUGCUUCAGGAUACUUCCCUCCUACAUACUUAGGUGAGUAUCUCAACAAAAGGUUUUCCUCCUUUCAUAUCAUACUUCAGAAAUUUCACAUUGAUAUAAUACUAUUCUCUAAUAUGGUCUUUUUUAAGUUCAAUUGUCCCUAUAGUUUUAUGCAGCUGAUCUAAGUACAUACAUACACACAUACACACACCCACACACACCCGCACACCCACACACACACGCCUCCAGGGUUUAAUCAAAGAUCUCACAUUGCGUUUAGCUGACAUGUUUGCUUUUUCAUUUGUUUGUUUUGUGUUGUGGUGUUGAAUUGGUCCUAGCGGUAUCAAUAUAAACCUAUUUUUAUUUCAAAAAUUUAUUUCUUAGGAAGAUGGAGAUAUGUCAAGAAGACACAGGAUUCUUCUUGAAAGGAUUCCCACUGGGAAAACUGGGAUAAUUUAAACAUCAAAAUGACAAAUGACAGAAGUGGUUAUAACAUAUUAGAGGGAACAAAUAUAUUUUCUGAUAUUUUGAAAAAUCAAGGUGGGAAGAAGAAUGGAACACUCCUCUUUAGAGAAGAAUACCAACUAAUAAAUGAGUAGGAAAUUUAGAAAUAGAAAAUUGUCAUUUUGUAACCAUCAUAAUGAUAAUUAAUUCAGGCAGGGGCCAUGAUAUCCCAGUCCACAUUUGUACCUUUCUUUUUCCACAGUGAGAAUCCAGGUUCCCAACAACCUUGUUAUGUUUACCCAUUUGCCUGGUCCUGCAGUACACACUAUCAACAAUUUAUUAAGUGGAGUUCAAGAUUUCCAUACCGUUUCAUUUUUAUUCUUAGAAAAUGUUAUGUUGGGUUGUACAAUCAGCAUACUUUGUUCGAAAGUGACUUGAGUACUUUUUCUAAUCUGUGAUUUUUAUCUAUUUCAUGUAAUUUUGGGUUUUUUCUGCUUGAAUUCAAUUUUCAUCUUUUUUCCAUUUCUUAAUUCUAUUUUUUGGAAAUGUAAACCUUUAACACACUUUGAAACACAAAACCAAAUCAAAAGGGAUCCCCAGAGAAAUUCCAUCUUCUUCCCUAUGACUUGCAUUUGGUUCUCACUGAU
rnacentral:lncRNA from 1 species